rnacentral:rRNA from 1 species
ACUUAAAUUGAAGAGUUUGAUCAUGGCUCAGAUUGAACGCUGGCGGCAGGCCUAACACAUGCAAGUCGAGCGGUAGCACAGAGAGCUUGCUCUCGGGUGACGAGCGGCGGACGGGUGAGUAAUGUCUGGGAAACUGCCUGAUGGAGGGGGAUAACUACUGGAAACGGUAGCUAAUACCGCAUAAUGUCGCAAGACCAAAGUGGGGGACCUUCGGGCCUCAUGCCAUCAGAUGUGCCCAGAUGGGAUUAGCUAGUAGGUGGGGUAACGGCUCACCUAGGCGACGAUCCCUAGCUGGUCUGAGAGGAUGACCAGCCACACUGGAACUGAGACACGGUCCAGACUCCUACGGGAGGCAGCAGUGGGGAAUAUUGCACAAUGGGCGCAAGCCUGAUGCAGCCAUGCCGCGUGUGUGAAGAAGGCCUUCGGGUUGUAAAGCACUUUCAGCGGGGAGGAAGGCGGUAAGGUUAAUAACCUUGGCGAUUGACGUUACCCGCAGAAGAAGCACCGGCUAACUCCGUGCCAGCAGCCGCGGUAAUACGGAGGGUGCAAGCGUUAAUCGGAAUUACUGGGCGUAAAGCGCACGCAGGCGGUCUGUCAAGUCGGAUGUGAAAUCCCCGGGCUCAACCUGGGAACUGCAUUCGAAACUGGCAGGCUAGAGUCUUGUAGAGGGGGGUAGAAUUCCAGGUGUAGCGGUGAAAUGCGUAGAGAUCUGGAGGAAUACCGGUGGCGAAGGCGGCCCCCUGGACAAAGACUGACGCUCAGGUGCGAAAGCGUGGGGAGCAAACAGGAUUAGAUACCCUGGUAGUCCACGCCGUAAACGAUGUCGAUUUGGAGGUUGUGCCCUUGAGGCGUGGCUUCCGGAGCUAACGCGUUAAAUCGACCGCCUGGGGAGUACGGCCGCAAGGUUAAAACUCAAAUGAAUUGACGGGGGCCCGCACAAGCGGUGGAGCAUGUGGUUUAAUUCGAUGCAACGCGAAGAACCUUACCUGGUCUUGACAUCCACAGAACUUUCCAGAGAUGGAUUGGUGCCUUCGGGAACUGUGAGACAGGUGCUGCAUGGCUGUCGUCAGCUCGUGUUGUGAAAUGUUGGGUUAAGUCCCGCAACGAGCGCAACCCUUAUCCUUUGUUGCCAGCGGUUAGGCCGGGAACUCAAAGGAGACUGCCAGUGAUAAACUGGAGGAAGGUGGGGAUGACGUCAAGUCAUCAUGGCCCUUACGACCAGGGCUACACACGUGCUACAAUGGCAUAUACAAAGAGAAGCGACCUCGCGAGAGCAAGCGGACCUCAUAAAGUAUGUCGUAGUCCGGAUUGGAGUCUGCAACUCGACUCCAUGAAGUCGGAAUCGCUAGUAAUCGUAGAUCAGAAUGCUACGGUGAAUACGUUCCCGGGCCUUGUACACACCGCCCGUCACACCAUGGGAGUGGGUUGCAAAAGAAGUAGGUAGCUUAACCUUCGGGAGGGCGCUUACCACUUUGUGAUUCAUGACUGGGGUGAAGUCGUAACAAGGUAACCGUAGGGGAACCUGCGGUUGGAUCACCUCCUUACCUUAAAGAA